ACGAACGCUGGCGGCGUGCCUAAUACAUGCCAGUUGAGCGCUGAAGGUUGGUACUUGUACCAACUGGAUGAGCAGAGAACGGGUGAGUAACGCGUGGGGAAUCUGCCUUUGAGCGGGGGACAACAUAAGGAAACGAAUGCUAAUACAGCAUAAAAACUUUAAACACAAGUUUUAAGGUUGAAAGAUGCAAUUGCAUCACUCAAAGAUGAUCCCGCGUUGUAUUAGCUAGUUGGUGAGGUAAAGGCUCCCCAAGGCGAUGAUACAUAGCCGACCUGAGAGGGUGAUCGGCCUCAUUGGGACUGGGACACGGCCCCAACUCCUACGGGAGGCAGCAGUAGGGAAUCUUCGGCAAUGGACGAAAGUCUGACCGUGCAACGCCGCGUUAGUGAAGAAGGUUUUCGGCUCGUAAAACUCUGUUGGUAUAGAAGAACGUUUGUGAUAGUGGAAAGCUCAUCUAUUGACGGUAACUACCCAGAAAGGGACGGCUAACUACGUG
rnacentral:rRNA from 1 species